rnacentral:rRNA from 1 species
UACGGAGGGUGCAAGCGUUUGUCCGGAUUUAUUGGGUUUAAAGGGUGCGUAGGUGGCCCGUUAAGUCCGGGGUGAAAGCCCACUGCUCAACAGUGGAACUGCCCUGGAUACUGGCGGGCUUGAGUCCAGACGAGGUUGGCGGAAUGGAUGGUGUAGCGGUGAAAUGCAUAGAUACCAUCCAGAACCCCGAUUGCGUAGGCAGCUGACUAGGCUGGUACUGACACUGAGGCACGAAAAGCGUGGGGAGCCGAACAGG